UCGAGGGGCAUCAGUUUGGUUUGCUUGCAAACCAAAGCUGGCGACCGGCGCACGGGUGAGUAACACGUAUCCAACCUGCCUCAUACUCGGGGAUAGCCUUUCGAAAGAAAGAUUAAUAUCCGAUAGCAUAUAUUUCCCGCAUGGGUUUUAUAUUAAAGAAAUUCGGUAUGAGAUGGGGAUGCGUUCCAUUAGUUUGUUGGCGGGGUAACGGCCCACCAAGACUACGAUGGAUAGGGGUUCUGAGAGGAAGGUCCCCCACAUUGGAACUGAGACACGGUCCAAACUCCUACGGGAGGCAGCAGUGAGGAAUAUUGGUCAAUGGACGCGAGUCUGAACCAGCCAAGUAGCGUGAAGGAUGACUGCCCUAUGGGUUGUAAACUUCUUUUAUAUGGGAAUAAAGUGGUCCACGUGUGGAUUUUUGUAUGUACCAUAUGAAUAAGGAUCGGCUAACUCCGUGCCAGCAGCCGCGGUAAUACGGAGGAUCCGAGCGUUAUCCGGAUUUAUUGGGUUUAAAGGGAGCGUAGGCGGAUUGUUAAGUCAGUUGUGAAAGUUUGCGGCUCAACCGUAAAAUUGCAGUUGAUACUGGCAGUCUUGAGUGCAGUAGAGGUGGGCGGAAUUCGUGGUGUAGCGGUGA
rnacentral:rRNA from 1 species